rnacentral:rRNA from 1 species
UACAGAGGGUGCGAACGUUGCUCGGAAUUAUUGGGCGUAAAGCGCGUGUAGGCGGCUUGUUAAGUUAGUCGUGAAAGCCCACGGCUCAACCGUGGAAGUGCAACUAAUACUGGCAAGCUUGAGUGCUGAAGAGGAUGGCGGAAUCCCCAGUGUAGAGGUGAAAUUCGUAGAUAUUGGGAGGAACAUCGGUGGCGAAGGCGGCCAUCUGGGAAGUAACUGACGCUGAGACGCGAAAGCGUGGGUAGCAAACAGG